rnacentral:rRNA from 1 species
UCCUACGGGAGGCAGCAGUGGGGAAUAUUGGACAAUGGGGGCAACCCUGAUCCAGCCAUGCCGCGUGUGUGAAGAAGGCCCUCGGGUCGUAAAGCACUUUCAGCGAGGAAGAACGCCUAGCGGUUAAUACCCGCUAGGAAAGACAUCACUCGCAGAAGAAGCACCGGCUAACUCCGUGCCAGCAGCCGCGGUAAUACGGAGGGUGCAAGCGUUAAUCGGAAUUACUGGGCGUAAAGCGCGCGUAGGUGGCUUGAUAAGCCGGUUGUGAAAGCCCCGGGCUCAACCUGGGAACGGCAUCCGGAACUGUCAAGCUAGAGUGCAGGAGAGGAAGGUAGAAUUCCCGGUGUAGCGGUGAAAUGCGUAGAGAUCGGGAGGAAUACCAGUGGCGAAGGCGGCCUUCUGGACUGACACUGACACUGAGGUGCGAAAGCGUGGGUAGCAAACAGGAUUAGAUACCCUGGUAGUCCACGCCGUAAACGAUGUCGACCAGCCGUUGGGUGCCUAGCGCACUUUGUGGCGAAGUUAACGCGAUAAGUCGACCGCCUGGGGAGUACGGCCGCAAGGUUAAAACUCAAAUGAAUUGACGG